CGGACUGCUUCAUCCUCGAGGCAAGUCAUUUUUUCAUCCUCGAGGCACUGAUUUCUCUUGAGAUUGAAUAAUCUGCAAUACCUCUGCUUUGGUGGUGCUAUUCUUUUCGGUUAUAUAUAGACUUGACAGAGUAAUAGUGUGUUUUAUAUAGUUGUCCUUAUUGAAUAAUCUGCAAUACCUCUGCCUUGGUGGUGCUAUUCUUUCCAAUUAUAGACUUCACAGAGUUAUAGUCUGCUUUAUGUAGUUGUCCUUAUUUUCUACUUCCUCAUGCAAUUAGUUACUAAUUUUCACUUUGAGAGAUGCUUAUUUUUAUCUUAGGAGUUACUAAACAUUUUCAAUUCGUCAGCCUCUUCUAAAUUUUAGAUUAUAGCUGCUAAAUGAUUUUAUUGUUGAGAGAAUGUCAAUCCUUCAACAUCAGAAUGUUCAUGGCUGAUAUAGCUCUUCCUUUGUAAUUAUUUAGUCAUAACCCGGCUCCUAUUAACUAGUUUUCUGUCUUGGUGAUAAUAAUAAUAAUGUUAGGAGCUCUUAAAUCUAAGGGAUUUUAUAGUUAUGUUACUCUGCUCUUUAUUGACUCAAUACAUUUUUCAGGCUUUGUAUUGGCUUGUCAUCUAGGUGUUUUAAUAAUCUCAUACUUGCAUUUCUUUGUGUGGUGGCUCUGGUUUUCUUUUUCUGUCAACUGUCAGAGUUGAGGGGUAUUUCUAAAAAUUUCUGGAAUGUAGUCAUAGCUUUUCACUUUCUUAUAUACCACAAGAUGCCUACAUGUAUCAUAGUUCAUAUUUCCUUUGCUUCAUGUUGGUCUAAAUAUGUCAAAAUUAAUGGCUGAAUGCUAAAACGAUGGAUCCUUGUUAUUGGUGCAGACUUAUCUUCAAUCUCUGUAGACUUAACUUAUAUUUGUAUAUUUUUUUUCUUAUGCAGAGCAGGGGAAAGAUUUAGAAGAGAUUUUUUAGUCAAAAGAUUUAAAGAGCUUUCUAGUCAAUUACAGGUGCACCAUAUUUCUCAUAUAUAUUUAGGUGAAAUAUUCUCAAUUAUGUACACUUGCUACCUUAUCUGUCAUGUUUAUAUAUUGGGGUUCAAUCUGAAUACAUCAAAGAAAAACCGAGUGAUCCAACUGCUAUUUGUUUGAAUAUAUAUUUUUGCAUUUCAUUGACCAGGUUUAGAUCUACAAGAUUUCUUUGUUAUUCCUAGAAACACAUGCUUACUAAGUUCAAUUUUCACUCUUAUUCAAUUAUUUAGUAUCCUGUUGGAAUAACUACGAUUCUAAUGGGGUUUUCUCUUGCAAAUUUUAGGUGAAAGCUAAUGACGAUUUGGAUUGAUGAGAAGCUGAAUAGCUAGUGGAGCCUCGAGGUCCCAUUGUAAAACAGUUGGUACCAAAGAGAACAUAUUCCAAAACAGUUGAUAUAAUAUACACUAUGUAAUAAGUUUUUUUUACUCAUGAUUGAGUUCCUUCACCAGAAUAUUCCUUGGUGAUGUCUGAAAUUUCAGAUUUGAAAUAAAGCAUUGUUAUAUUGGG
rnacentral:lncRNA from 1 species